GAAAUACUCCCUUCGUUUUAAAUUACUCGUCGCAGAAAUGGAUAUAUCUAGAACUAAAAUUCUAGAUAUAUCCAUACCUGCGACAAGUAAUUCGGAACGGAGGAAGUACAUA
rnacentral:pre_miRNA from 1 species